rnacentral:lncRNA from 1 species
UUGCCCGGGCGGCUGUCACUCAGCGGCAGAGAGGCUGGCGAUUGGCGCCGGGCUUGGUUACGCAUUUGCCUCGCGCUCACAUACAGGGGUAGGGCAGUAGAAAGGUGAUCAAUCUUCAUCAGGCUACAUUUCCAAUCACCUAAACAACCGGGCGAGACGGCGACCGCGACAAGAGUGCCGUGAGAGGCUGUCCUGCCCCUGGGAUUUCUUUCGCUCACCUCCAUUGGAAGAAUCGAUCUUCUGAAAUAAAACACACCAGGCAAAUAUCCAGGAAUUUAAAGAGACGUUGGCGGAAAAAAGAAAACCAGUUGUGUGCGGACCAUUUGGGG